GUGCUUGCUUCGGCAGCACAUAUACUAAAAUUGGAACGAUACAGAGAAGAUGAGCAUGGCCCCUGUGGAAGGGAAUCACUGUUUUAACUGCACCUGCUGCCUAUGGUA
ensembl:snRNA U6 U6 spliceosomal RNA